CCCGCUGAAUUUAAGCAUAUUAAUAAGCGGAGGAAAAGAAACUAACAAGGAUUCCCUCAGUAACGGCGAGUGAAGCGGGAAGAGCUCAAAUUUGAAAUCUCCGGUGCUUGCAUCGGCGAGUUGUAGUUGCGAGAAGCACUUUCUAGGUGGAUCGGCGGUGCCUAAGUUGCUUGGAACAGCACGUCGCAGAGGGUGACAACCCCGUCUGUGGCGCCGCCGGCCGCUGACGAUGUGCUUUCGAAGAGUCGGGUUGUUUGGGAAUGCAGCCCAAAAUGGGUGGUAAACUCCAUCUAAAGCUAAAUACUGGCGUGAGACCGAUAGCGAACAAGUACCGUGAGGGAAAGAUGAAAAGAACUUUGAAAAGAGAGUUAAAAAGUACGUGAAACCGUCGGAAGGGAAACGAAUGGACUCAGCAAUGCGCCCUCUGAGAUUCAGCCGCGUGGGUGGCGGCGGCGCGGGGUUUGCGGAUCUGAAUGGACCGCGGCCCGGCGCUCGCUGCUCCCCGCCGUCGCACUUCUCUGGGGCGCGCGUCAACGUGGGUUGGGACUGGGUCUGAAAGGUGCCGGGAAGGUAGGUGUGGGCCUUCGGGUCCGUUCUGUUACAGCCCGGUUCUCUCAUGGCUCGGGCCCGACCGAGGAGCAGACAGGGCAUGCCUCCUGUGGCUAGGGUCCCGUCCUUCCGGCCGGCUGUCCAGUGUGGUGGACUGCUUGCAGUGCUCUGCGACGGCUGCCGGUCGUUGGGGUGGUGAUCUCGUACCAUGCCCUUGGGAUGUUGGCGGUCAUAUGGGUGC
rnacentral:rRNA from 2 species